rnacentral:piRNA from 1 species
UGAAGUGACGUGCCCAGAGUCACACAGGU